ACCCUUUGAGGAUCGCACCAGGAGAGUUUCCAGUACUCUACCAGUCUCGCCUAUGGGAGGGAGAGUCAAGCAGAGGCAUACCUAUUCCUUUCCUAGCUUGGUCAGUGGCUAGUGAGUGGAAGGCCAACUGCUACAAGU